rnacentral:lncRNA from 1 species
GUUUUUGGUUAUUAUCUUGAAUAUUAUUAUAGAUAGAGAUAAACUGUAAACAGCAAUAAUGUUCAGCAAAGUAAGAUUUACAAAUAAGUCAACAUGACCGAAAUGGUCAAUUGACUGCCUAAGGAGUUAUUGUCCUUUAUAGUCAAUUUUUAACAAUUUUCAUAAAAUUUGUUAAUUUUUAUUAACAUUUUCCAUUGAAACUACUGGGC